rnacentral:rRNA from 1 species
CCCGCCGGACCCUACUGCUAUCGGGGUGGGACUAAGACAUGCAAGUCGUGCGUCUCUAAGCCAUGGUAGAGACGCGGCGUACGGCUCAGUAACACGUGGCUAACCUACCCUUAGGACGGGAACAACCCCGGGAAACUGGGGACAAUCCCCGAUAGGUGAGGAGGCCUGGAAUGGUUCUUCGCUGAAAAGGCGUUGAAACCAUGCUUUUCAACGUUGCCUAAGGAUGGGGCCGCGUCCGAUCAGGUUGUUGGUGAGGUAACGGCUCACCAAGCCUAUAACCGGUACGGGCCGUGAGAGCGGGAGCCCGGAGAUGGGCACUGAGACAAGGGCCCAGGCCCUACGGGGCGCAGCAGUCGCGAAAACUCCGCAAUGCGCGAAAGCGUGACGGGGCUACCCCGAGUGCCGUCCGCUGAGGAUGGCUUUUCCCCAGUGUAAUGAGCCGGGGGAAUAAGGAGAGGGCAAGACUGGUGUCAGCCGCCGCGGUAAUACCAGCUCUCCGAGUGGUAGGGAUGAUUAUUGGGCUUAAAGCGUCCGUAGCCGGCUUAACAAGUCUCCUGUCAAAUUCAGCGACCUAAUCGUUGAGCCGCGGGAGAUACUGCUAGGCUAGGAGGCGGGAGAGGCUGACGGUAUUCUCGGGGUAGGGGUGAAAUCCUAUAAUCCCGGGAGGACCACCAGUGGCGAAGGCUGUCGGCUAGAACGCGCUCGACGGUGAGGGACGAAAGCUGGGGGAGCGAACCGGAUUAGAUACCCGGGUAGUCCCAGCUGUAAACGAUGCGAGCUAGGUGUUGGUGUGGCUACGAGCCACUUCAGUGCCGCAGGGAAGCCAUUAGGCUCGCCGCCUGGGGAGUACGGCCGCAAGGCUGAAACUUAAAGGAAUUGGCGGGGGAGCACCACAA